rnacentral:lncRNA from 13 species
ACCACUACUAUGAAACUGGGAGAUGAGGAUGCUGUUGUCCUUGACACUUAUAUAUUUGAAAGUGUUGUCUCCGAGUUCCUUCAGAAAGACAUUAUUGGACUGUAAAAGUGUUACCAAUUUCUGUGGUGUAAAUACUCCCAUCACUAUCAAUUUGACAUCCCUAAACAUGGAUUUGAAAAGAGAUGCUAACAACAGUUCCCCUGAGCUUCAGCACAGCACUGUAUCAAUCUGCUUAUUUAAUUAUAUAGUUCUGACAUAG